rnacentral:rRNA from 1 species
UACGAAGGGUGCAAGCGUUACUCGGAAUUACUGGGCGUAAAGCGUGCGUAGGUGGUUUGUUAAGUCUGCUGUGAAAGCCCCAGGCUCAACCUGGGAAUGGCAGUGGAUACUGGCAAGCUGGAGUGCGGUAGAGGGUAGUGGAAUUCCCGGUGUAGCGGUGAAAUGCGUAGAGAUCGGGAGGAACACCAGUGGCGAAGGCGGCUACCUGGACCAGCACUGACACUGAGGCACGAAAGCGUGGGGAGCAAACAGG